UACGAAGGGGGCUAGCGUUGCUCGGAAUCACUGGGCGUAAAGGGUGCGUAGGCGGGUUUUUAAGUCAGGGGUGAAAUCCCGGAGCUCAACUCCAGAACUGCCUUUGAUACUGAAGAUCUUGAGUCCGGGAGAGGUGAGUGGAACUGCGAGUGUAGAGGUGAAAUUCGUAGAUAUUCGCAAGAACACCAGUGGCGAAGGCGGCUCACUGGCCCGGUACUGACGCUGAGGCACGAAAGCGUGGGGAGCAAACAGGG
rnacentral:rRNA from 1 species